CUCCGCGAAAGCGGAGCUAAUACCGGAUAACAUCUUAUGAGCUUAGGCAAAUAAGAUCAAAAGUGGCCUCUACAUGUAAGCUACUGCUUGAAGAUGAGCCCGCGUACCAUUAGCUUGUUGGUAGGGUAAUGGCCUACCAAGGCGACGAUGGUUAGCUGGUCUGAGAGGAUGAUCAGCCACACUGGAACUGAGACACGGUCCAGACUCCUACGGGAGGCAGCAGUGAGGAAUUUUGCGCAAUGGGGGAAACCCUGACGCAGCAACGCCGCGUGAGUGAUGAAGGCUUUCGGGUCGUAAAGCUCUGUCAAGUGGGAAGAAACUAUUCUUUGCCAAUACCAUUGAGUACUGACGGUACCACUGAAGGAAGCACCGGCUAACUCCGUGCCAGCAGCCGCGGUAAUACGGGGGGUGCAAGCGUUAUUCGGAAUCAUUGGGCGUAAAGAGCGCGUAGGCGGUCCCAUAAGUCAGAUGUGAAAGCCCAAGGCUCAACCUUGGAAGUGCAUUUGAUACUAUGGGUCUUGAGUAUGGGAGAGGGAAGUGGAAUUCCUGGUGUAGAGGUGAAAUUCGUAGAUAUCAGGAGGAACACCGGUGCGAAGGCGACUUCCUGGACCAAUACUGACGCUGAGGCGCGAAGGCGUGGGUAGCAAACAGGAUUAGAUACCCUGGUAGUCCACGCAGUAAACGAUGAACACUAGGCGUAGCGGGUAUUGACCCCUGCUGUGCCGCAGUUAACGCAUUAAGUGUUCCGCCUGGGGAGUACGGCCGCAAGGCUAAAACUCAAAGGAAUUGACGGGGGCCCGCACAAGCGGUGGAGCAUGUGGUUUAAUUCGACGCAACGCGAAGAACCUUACCUGGGCUUGACAUCCCGAGAAGUUUUUCGAAAGAAAAAUGUGCCCUUCGGGGAACUUGGAGACAGGUGCUGCAUGGCUGUCGUCAGCUCGUGUCGUGAGUUGUUGGGUUAAGUCCCGCAACGAGCGCAACCCUCAUCUUUAGUUACCAUCAUUCAGUUGGGGACUCUAGAGAUACUGCCCCGGUCAACGGGGAGGAAGGUGGGGAUGACGUCAAGUCCUCAUGGCCCUUAUGUCCAGGGCUACACACGUGCUACAAUGGGCUGUACAAAGGGUUGCGAACCCGCGAGGGUGAGCUAAUCCCAUAAAGCAGCUCCAAGUUCGGAUUGGAGUCUGCAACUCGACUCCAUGAAGCUGGAAUCGCUAGUAAUCGUGGAUCAGCAUGCCACGGUGAAUACGUUCCCGGGCCUUGUACACACCGCCCGUCACACCAUGAGAGUUGAUUGUACCGGAAGUCGUUGGGCCAACCCAUUCGGGAGGCAGGCGCCGAUGGUAUGGUUGAUGAUUGGGGUGAAGUCGUAACAAGGUA
rnacentral:rRNA from 1 species